UUUAAUGGAAUUUGCACACCU
rnacentral:piRNA from 1 species